GACGAACGCUGGCGGCGUGCUUAACACAUGCAAGUCGAACGAAGUGGCGAACGGGUGAGUAAUACGUGAGUAACCUGCCCUCCUUUUUGGGAUAAGCCUUGGAAACGGGGUCUAAUACCGGAUAAAGGGGGAUGGGCUCGCGGCCUAUCAGCUUGUUGGUGGGGUGAUGGCCUACCAAGGCGGUGACGGGUAGCCGGCCUGAGAGGGUGAACUGCCAGUUUGGGACUGUGAUACGGCCCAGACUCCUACGGGGGGCAGCAGUGGGGGAUAUUGGACAAUGGGCGAAAGCCUGAUGCAGCGACGCCGCUUGGGGGAUGAAGUCUUUCGGGUUGUAAUCCUCUUUCGCUAUCGCGCGGGUAGGUGGAGAAGAAGCGCCGGCUAACUACGUGCCAGCAGCCGCGGUAAUUC
rnacentral:rRNA from 1 species